GAUGAACGCUGGCGGCGUGCCUAAUACAUGCAAGUCGAGCGAACAGACGAGGAGCUUGCUCCUCUGACGUUAGCGGCGGACGGGUGAGUAACACGUGGAUAACCUACCUAUAAGACUGGGAUAACUUCGGGAAACCGGAGCUAAUACCGGAUAAUAUAUUGAACCGCAUGGUUCAAUAGUGAAAGACGGUUUUGCUGUCACUUAUAGAUGGAUCCGCGCCGCAUUAGCUAGUUGGUAAGGUAACGGCUUAUCAAGGCAACGAUGCGUAGCCGACCUGAGAGGGUGAUCGGCCACACGGGAACUGAGACACGGUCCAGACUCCUACGGGAGGCAGCAGUAGGGAAUCUGCCGCAAUGGGCGAAAGCCUGACGGAGCAACGCCGCGUGAGUGAUGAAGGUCUUCGGAUCGUAAAACUCUGUUAUUAGGGAAGAACAAAUGUGUAAGUAACUAUGCACGUCUUGACGGUACCUAAUCAGAAAGCCACGGCUAACUACGUG
rnacentral:rRNA from 1 species